rnacentral:rRNA from 1 species
UGAGUAACACGUAUCCAACCUGCCGUCUACUCUUGACAGCCUUCUGAAAGGAAGAUUAAUACAAGAUGGCAUCAUGAGUCCGCAUGUUCACAUGAUUAAAGGUAUUCCGGUAGACGAUGGGAUGCGUUCCAUUAGAUAGUAGGCGGGGUAACGGCCCACCUAGUCUUCGAUGGAUAGGGGUUCUGAGAGGAAGGUCCCCCACAUUGGAACUGAGACACGGUCCAA